ACGCUCGACACCUACGAGAGGCAGCAGUAGGGAAUCUUCCACAAUGGACGCAAGUCUGAUGGAGCAACGCCGCGUGAGUGAAGAAGGUCUUCGGAUCGUAAAACUCUGUUGUUAGAGAAGAACACGAGUGAGAGUAACUGUUCAUUCGAUGACGGUAUCUAACCAGCAAGUCACGGCUAACUACGUGCCAGUAGCCGCGGUAAUCUGAGCGGGCUGGCAAGGC
rnacentral:rRNA from 1 species